rnacentral:rRNA from 1 species
UGGGGAAUUGUUCACAAUGGGCGCAAGCCUGAUGACGCAACGCCGCGUGGGGGAUGAAGGUCUUCGGAUCGUAAACCCCUGUCGAAUGGGACGAAAGACUCGCGAGUGAAUACUUCGCGAGAGUGACGGUACCGUUAAAGGAAGCCACGGCUAACUCUGUGCCAGCAGCCGCGGUAAUACAGAGGUGGCAAGCGUUGUUCGGAAUUACUGGGCGUAAAGGGCGCGUAGGCGGCCCUCUAAGUCAGACGUGAAAUCCCCCGGCUUAACCUGGGAACUGCGUCUGAUACUGGAGGGCUUGAGUAUGGGAGAGGGAUGCGGAAUUCCAGGUGUAGCGGUGAAAUGCGUAGAUAUCUGGAGGAACACCGGUGGCGAAGGCGGCAUCCUGGACCAAUACUGACGCUGAGGAGCGAAAGCCAGGGGAGCAAACGGGAUUAGAUACCCCCGUAGUCCCUGAGCGGGCUGGCAAGGCGCAU